CUCCUGUAUACACACAGA
rnacentral:miRNA from 1 species